UCGAUUGAAAGAGCAGCUUCAUACUCUAUAGAUUUCCUCUAGUCACUUUACCGCACUCAGUGUGGGUUCUAAGUUGCGUUUUCACUGAUUCAAACUAAUUAAGAUAUUCUGGAACGUAUUUAACCAUAUAAAGUCUAGUUACUAUGAGUCUAUGAAUACUAAAUCUUUCGGACCAAAGCAUACGAUAUGGCAUUUUGAAGAUGUAUCGUGAUAAUUGAAUUAGGGGCUUUUCAGGAUGACAAGAUAACUAUCCUUUCGUUUGAGUUGGUUUGUUCCAAGCAUCUUCAGGCUUGGUUUAUAAUAGGCAAGUUGAAGAUGUAUUAGGAUAAUUGAAUUUUACUUCGAGAUGAGUAAAACUGACUGAAGUUUGACUUACUUCACCUAACAGUGAUAAUUGAAUUUUACUUCGAGAUGAGUAAAACUGACUGAAGUUUGACUUCACCUAACAGUCGGGCAGGUAUUCCAAGUGGCGCUGCAGAAAUCUUUUCUCUCAUGCAGCAUAUGGGUUGUGAACCAGACAGAGCAUCGUA
rnacentral:lncRNA from 1 species